rnacentral:rRNA from 1 species
GACGAACGCCGGCGGCGUGCUUAACACAUGCAAGUCGAGCGGUAAGGCCCUUUCGGGGGUACGACGAGCGGCGAACGGGUGAGUAACACGUGGGUGACCUGCCCUCAGCUCUGGGAUAAGCCUGGGAAACCGGGUCUAAUACCGGAUAUGACUCCAUGACGCAUGUUGUGGGGUGGAAAGCCUUGUGCGGCUGAGGAUGGGCCCGCGGCCUAUCAGCUUGUUGGUGGGGUGAUGGCCUACCAAGGCGACGACGGGUAGCCGGCCUGAGAGGGCGACCGGCCACACUGGGACUGAGACACGGCCCAGACUCCUACGGGAGGCAGCAGUGGGGAAUCUUGCGCAAUGGGCGAAAGCCUGACGCAGCGACGCCGCGUGAGGGAUGACGGCCU